AUAGUCCACAUGGAGGGUUUUAUUACGUUAUCCCCAUUCAAGGUCGAUGUGUAAUUGCUGCUGUAACACAACAUUGAAUCACUGGCUGGCUCAGUCAGUUUAGGCAAUGGAUCUUUUGUUUGGGUGGAGGAUCCUGAUAGAUGGGGAAAUUGUUUAAGUCAAAGGUGAAAAGAUCAGGGUUCUUGGUACUUUAGGGAAGACAACAAGUGUUCCCCACCGCUUUUGUGUAUGGACAUCUAUUGUUUAGAAAUGCACAAUGUUCUGUUGUUUUCUUCCCUUUUUUUUGCUUGCUUGUUUGUUGGUUGAUGUUAAGUUUUAAAUUGCAGGUUGUUGUUAAGGCUACUGAAGUCUAUCCCAAGAAUUUUGAAGCACCACCAUGUGGAGUUGAUGACAUAACAAAGCUGGCCUAUU